rnacentral:lncRNA from 1 species
UGUAUAUGUAAUACAUGUACCCAUUGGGGAAAGGAGCGAGAUGAAAAUCCUGGGGGUUCGGGCGUAUGCCUGACCCACAUCCCUGCACAUCGAUCGGCCCGGUCGCCUAGCUUUAGUGGGAUAUCUACUAGCAACGACAUUGAACAAACCGUAGCCGUCGUCGCGUACCAACUCUUCUGCAAAUUGUGUUAAAAUCAAAGAUCGCUAUUAUAUUUCGACUAUUAUCCAAGCGUGGAUGCACAUUUUCUGCAUGAACGGUUUACAAAUUUGUUCGGUGAUAACGAUUGGUUACCGUGCUUCCGUCCUUGACAUUAUUUCGAUUCGAUGACGUUCGCGAGAACAAACUCCUGUUUACAGGGGAGAACAUCGACGAUGCACGAUGCAACUGCAUUCGUCCUCGUUCAUUUAUGCAUAGAUUGUAUGUACUACGUAAUAAACAUUGCACUGACAUUUACGCAUCAAUAAAGAUUAAUGUGCUGGUUAAAUUGAACGAAACGAAAAAUAAAUGUACAAUUGAAUUGUGGGAGAAAAAACUGUUGAAAAUGUUCAAGUUAGAGGUACAUGCUUAAUGGCGCGAGAAAAAAGCAAGACAGAUGACAAUGAUUGAUGACCCUUCUUCUCUCAUUCUCUUUUUCCCGCAUGAAAAAAUUGUUAACUUUCUUCCUCCGUGUAACAGGUAAUUAAUUUAUGCACUGACGUGACGAAAAAAUUGACUUUUAUUUACGAUUAAG